GUUGAAUUCACCAAAUAGAAGACACUGGAAAUGAGACCCGAGGGUUGGAGGAGGAGGAAGUUGCUGAUGGGAAGGCAGAAAAGUACAAUGGAAACAGCAUGGGCUCCAGGAAGUCAGCUCUACCACUGACUGGCUGUGUGAUUUUUGGCCUGCAAUGUGAACACGAUGGCUGGAGCUCCGGCAGCCAUUCUGGGCCAGGAGGUAGCCUUGAAGAUGGAAGCCACAUGUUGGGAUGGUGAAUCCAAAAGAUGAGGAGCCUGUAUCCCCUGUGACACCAGAGCUGCCAUACCAGCCCUGGGUUCCUCCAUCUAUACUGCCUUCAUAUGGUAAAGAAAUAUUCUUGGAUCUUGUUAGGUGUCUGUUGCAGCCAAACACAAUCCCAACUGAUAUUCACUGUAAAUGAUUCCAUGGCUCCCUGUAGUACUU
rnacentral:lncRNA from 1 species